rnacentral:rRNA from 1 species
GACGAACGCUGGCGGCGUGCUUAACACAUGCAAGUCGAACGGAAAGGCCCUGCGUUUGUGGGGUGCUCGAGGGGCGAACGGGUGAGUAACACGUGAGUAACCUGCCCUUGACUUUGGGAUAACUUCAGGAAACUGGGGCUAAUACCGGAUAGGAGCUCCUGCUGCAUGGUGGGGGUUGGAAAGUUUCGGCGGUCGUGGAUGGUCUCGCGGCUUAUCGGCUUGUUGGUGGGGUAGUGGCAUACCCAGGCUUUGGCGGAUAGCCCGCCUGAGAGGGUGACCGGCGUCAUUGGUCCUGCGGUACGCACCAGUGUGCUAUGUUAGGCAAUGGUGGCGAGCCUUGUCCAAUGAGCCCACGCCUGUUGCGGAAACCCUGCGUUUGUGAUGCCGUUUUGUUGGUUGUGAACAGCUUUCGCCUGUUACCAAGCGUUUGUGACGGUAACCAGUGAAUAAGCACCGGCUAACUUCGUG